rnacentral:tRNA from 1 species
GACAAGAUGGCCGAGUGGUUAAGGCGUACCGUUCAAGCUGUCACAUGAACACUUGGAAAUUCUCUGACUUUCCUGAUCCGGUAUGGGGAAACCCGCGUGAGUUCGAGUCUCGCUCUUGUCA